GGUUGAUCCUGCCAGUAGUCAUAUGCUUGUCUCAAAGAUUAAGCCAUGCAUGUCUAAGUAUGAACUGCUUCAUACUGCGAAACUGCGAAUGGCUCAUUAAAUCAGUUAUAGUUUAUUUGAUGGUACCUUACUACUCGGAUAACCAUAGUAAUUCUAGAGCUAAUACGUGCGGAAAUCCCGACUUCUGGAAGGGACGUAUUUAUUAGAUAAAAGGCCGACCGGGCUUGCCCGACUCGCGGUGACUCAUGAUAACUCCACGAAUCGCACAGCCCUGGCGCUGGCGAUGUUUCAUU
rnacentral:rRNA from 1 species